GUGUGUGUGUGUGUCUGUGUUUGUCUGUGUCUGUGUGUGGUGUUAAACUUUGGAACCGACUGGGGCUACAACUUAGGCAGUGUUCAAAUAUCCAUCACUUUAAAUCAAAAUAUAAGGAAAUGGUUUGGUCACAAUAUAUGGGUGUUGCUAGUGGAUGGGAGGGGUGAGUGCAAUAUAAUAUAAUAUAGUAUAAUAUAAGACAGUAUAAUAUAAUACAGUAAGAAUAUAAUAUAGUAA